rnacentral:ncRNA from 1 species
CAAAAGCUUGGUCCUGACUUUACUAUCAGCUUUAGCCUAACUUAUACAUGCAAGUAUCCGCACCCCUGUGAAAAUGCCCUCACUCCCCCUUACCCGGGGACGAGGAGCUGGCAUCAGGCACCUUUCUAUACUGCCCAAGACGCCUUGCUACGCCACACCCUCAAGGGAACUCAGCAGUAAUAAACAUUAAGCCAUAAGUGAAAACUUGACUUAAUUAAGGUUAAUUUAGGGCCGGUAAAACUCGUGCCAGCCACCGCGGUUAUACGAGAGACCCUAGUUGAUAAAUACGGCGUAAAGAGUGGUUAGGAAACAAACAAAUAAAGUCAAAUACUCUCCAUACUGUUAUAAGUUUUAUGAGAAUACGAAGCCCUAUUACGAAAGUAACUUUACCUCUUCCGACCCCACGAAAGCUAAGAAACAAACUGGGAUUAGAUACCCCACUAUGCUUAGCCUUAAACUUAGAUGCUUUCAUUACAAAAACAUCCGCCAGGGUACUACGAGCGCUAGCUUAAAACCCAAAGGACUUGACGGUGUCUCAGACCCACCUAGAGGAGCCUGUCCUAGAACCGAUAAUCCACGUUUAACCUCACCACCCCUUGCUUAUUCAGCCUAUAUACCGCCGUCGCAAGCUUACCCUGUGAAGGAUAAACAGUAAGCAUAAUGGAAAUAACCCAAAACGUCAGGUCGAGGUGUAGCUUAUGAGGUGGGAAGAGAUGGGCUACAUUUUCUGUAUCAGAAAAUAACGAACGGUAUCAUGAAAUCAAUACCCGAAGGUGGAUUUAGUAGUAAAAAUCAAAUAGAGAGUCAUUUUGAACUAGGCUCUGAGACGCGCACACACCGCCCGUCACCCUCCCCAACAAACACAAACUAAGUAAAUAACCAGAAAACUAAUAACACGGGGAGAUAAGUCGUAACAAGGUAAGUGUACCGGAAGGUGCACUUGGAACAU